rnacentral:rRNA from 1 species
NNNNNNNNNNGGAUUCCCCUAGUAACGGCGAGUGAAGCGGGAAGAGCUCAAAUUUGAAAUCUGGUGGUCUUUGAUCAUCCGAGUUGUAAUCUAUAGAAGUGUUUCCCGUGCUGGCUCAUGUCUAAGUGCCUUGGAACAGGCCAUCAUAGAGGGUGAGAAUCCCGUUCUUGACAUGACCACCCAGUGCUCUGUGAUACACUUUCGACGAGUCGAGUUGUUUGGGAAUGCAGCUCAAAAUGGGUGGUAAAUUCCAUCUAAAGCUAAAUAUUGGCAAGAGACCGAUAGCGAACAAGUACCGUGAGGGAAAGAUGAAAAGCACUUUGGAAAGAGAGUUAAACAGUAUGUGAAAUUGUUGAAAGGGAAACGAUUGAAGUCAGUCGUGUYCAUUGGACUCAACCGGUUCUGCCGGCUUACUUCCAUUGAACGGGGUCAACAUCAGUUCUGUCCGCUGGAUAAGGUUGGGAUGAAGGUAGCACCCUCGGGUGAACUUAUAGCAUCCCAUCGCAUACAGUGGUCGGGACUGAGGAACGCAGCUUGCCUUUAUGGCCGGGGUUUGCCCACGUACAAGCUUAGGAUGUUGACAUAAUGGCUUUAAACGACCCGUCUUGAAACACGGACCAAGGAGUCUAACAUAUGUGCGAGUAUUUGGGUGUCAAACCCGAGUGCGCAAUGAAAGUGAAUGUAGGAGGGAUCCGCAAGGAGCACCUUCGACCGAUCUGGAUCUUUAUCGAUGGAUUUGAGUAAGAGCAUAUAUGCUGGGACCCGAAAGAUGGUGAACUAUGCCUGAAUAGGGCGAAGCCAGAGGAAACUCUGGUGGAGGCUCGGAGCGAUUCUGACGUGCAAAUCGAUCGUCAAAUUUGGGUAUAGGGGCGAAACACUAAUCGAACCNNNNNNNNNNNNNNNNNNNNN